AAUGAACGCUGGCGGCGUACUUAACACAUGCAAGUCGUGCGCGAAAGUCGACUUCGGUUGACGAGUAGAGCGGCGAACGGGUGAGUAACACGUGGGUAACCUGCCUGGGAGCGGGGGAUAACCUGGGGAAACUCGGGCUAAUACCGCAUACGCUCUAGGUGCUUCGGCACCGUGAGGAAAGCUGGCCUCUACUUGUAAGCUAGCACUCCCAGAGGACCCGCGCCCGAUUAGCUAGUUGGUGGGGUAACGGCCCACCAAGGCUGCGAUCGGUAGCCGGCCUGAGAGGGCGAUCGGCCACACUGGGACUGAGACACGGCCCAGACUCCUACGGGAGGCAGCAGUGGGGGAAUAUUGGACAAUGGGCGCAAGCCUGAUCCAGCAACGCCGCGUGGAGGACGAAGGCCUUCGGGUCGUAAACUCCUGUCAGUUGGGACGAAAAGCUGUCGGCAAAUAGGCGGCAGUCAUGACGGUACCAGCAGAGGAAGCCCCGGCUAACUCCGUG
rnacentral:rRNA from 1 species